rnacentral:rRNA from 1 species
UGAAACCGUUCGGGGGUAAACGGACAGAGCCCGUGAAUCCGGGCGAGCGGAAUUCAGGACCGACGAGGCGGGUGCUUCUCGGCACUCGUUUCGUCGAUUCGAUAUUUCCGCCGCCGACCUUUACGGGUGCGGACGUCGCGACCCGUUCGUCGUCGGUCUGACGAGUCGCGUUUCAAGUUUGUCACGCGUACGCUCUCGGGCGUGCGCGCGGCGAUGGCGCGUUCCUCGGACCGGCGUUCGCGGACGGUAGCUGUAAACGCGCGGGUAAUCGACGCGGCCGAUCUCGGGUUUUCGGGCCCGAGGGUGCUCGCGUCGACGCCGGUCAGCGACGAAUCUUCGGGCCU